UUAAGCGACUAAGCGUACACGGUGGAUGCCCUGGCAGUCAGAGGCGAUGAAGGACGUGCUAAUCUGCGAAAAGCGUCGGUAAGGUGAUAUGAACCGUUACAGCCGGCGAUGUCCGAAUGGGGAAACCCAGUGCAAUUCGUUGCACUAUCGUUAACUGAAUACAUAGGUUAACGAGGCGAACCGGGGGAACUGAAACAUCUAAGUACCCCGAGGAAAAGAAAUCAACCGAGAUUCCCCCAGUAGCGGCGAGCGAACGGGGAGCAGCCCAGAGUCUGAAUCAGCUUGUGUGUUAGUGGAACGGUCUGGAAAGUCCGACGGUACAGGGUGAUAGUCCCGUACACCAAAAUGCACAGGUUGUGAACUCGAAGAGUAGGGCGGGACACGUGGUAUCCUGUCUGAAUAUGGGGGGACCAUCCUCCAAGGCUAAAUACUCCUGACUGACCGAUAGUGAACCAGUACCGUGAGGGAAAGGCGAAAAGAACCCCGGCGAGGGGAGUGAAAAAGAACCUGAAACCGUGUACGUACAAGCAGUGGGAGCACCUUCGGGUGUGACUGCGUACCUUUUGUAUAAUGGGUCAGCGACUUAUAUUCUGUAGCAAGGUUAACCGUAUAGGGGAGCCGCAGGGAAACCGAGUCUUAACUGGGCGUUAAGUUGCAGGGUAUAGACCCGAAACCCGGUGAUCUAGCCAUGGGCAGGUUGAAGGUUGGGUAACACUAACUGGAGGACCGAACCGACUAAUGUUGAAAAAUUAGCGGAUGACUUGUGGCUGGGGGUGAAAGGCCAAUCAAACCGGGAGAUAGCUGGUUCUCCCCGAAAGCUAUUUAGGUAGCGCCUCGUGAACUCAUCUUCGGGGGUAGAGCACUGUUUCGGCUAGGGGGUCAUCCCGACUUACCAACCCGAUGCAAACUACGAAUACCGAAGAAUGUUAUCACGGGAGACACACGGCGGGUGCUAACGUCCGUCGUGAAGAGGGAAACAACCCAGACCGCCAGCUAAGGUCCCAAAGUCAUGGUUAAGUGGGAAACGAUGUGGGAAGGCACAGACAGCCAGGAUGUUGGCUUAGAAGCAGCCAUCAUUUAAAGAAAGCGUAAUAGCUCACUGGUCGAGUCGGCCUGCGCGGAAGAUGUAACGGGGCUAAACCAUGCACCGAAGCUGCGGCAGCGACACUAUGUGUUGUUGGGUAGGGGAGCGUUCUGUAAGCCUGCGAAGGUGUGCUGUGAGGCAUGCUGGAGGUAUCAGAAGUGCGAAUGCUGACAUAAGUAACGAUAAAGCGGGUGAAAAGCCCGCUCGCCGGAAGACCAAGGGUUCCUGUCCAACGUUAAUCGGGGCAGGGUGAGUCGACCCCUAAGGCGAGGCCGAAAGGCGUAGUCGAUGGGAAACAGGUUAAUAUUCCUGUACUUGGUGUUACUGCGAAGGGGGGACGGAGAAGGCUAUGUUAGCCGGGCGACGGUUGUCCCGGUUUAAGCAUGUAGGCUGAUUGUCCAGGCAAAUCCGGAUAAUCAAGGCUGAGGUGUGAUGACGAGGCACUACGGUGCUGAAGUAACAAAUGCCCUGCUUCCAGGAAAAGCCUCUAAGCAUCAGGUAACAUUAAAUCGUACCCCAAACCGACACAGGUGGUCAGGUAGAGAAUACCAAGGCGCUUGAGAGAACUCGGGUGAAGGAACUAGGCAAAAUGGUGCCGUAACUUCGGGAGAAGGCACGCUGGUGUGUAGGUGAAGUCCCUGCGGAUGGAGCUGAGACCAGUCGAAGAUACCAGCUGGCUGCAACUGUUUAUUAAAAACACAGCACUGUGCAAACACGAAAGUGGACGUAUACGGUGUGACGCCUGCCCGGUGCCGGAAGGUUAAUUGAUGGGGUUAUCCGUAAGGAGAAGCUCUUGAUCGAAGCCCCGGUAAACGGCGGCCGUAACUAUAACGGUCCUAAGGUAGCGAAAUUCCUUGUCGGGUAAGUUCCGACCUGCACGAAUGGCGUAAUGAUGGCCAGGCUGUCUCCACCCGAGACUCAGUGAAAUUGAACUCGCUGUGAAGAUGCAGUGUACCCGCGGCAAGACGGAAAGACCCCGUGAACCUUUACUAUAGCUUGACACUGAACAUUGAGCCUUGAUGUGUAGGAUAGGUGGGAGGCUUUGAAGCGUGGACGCCAGUCUGCGUGGAGCCAACCUUGAAAUACCACCCUUUAAUGUUUGAUGUUCUAACGUUGGCCCCUGACCGGGGUUGCGGACAGUGUCUGGUGGGUAGUUUGACUGGGGCGGUCUCCUCCCAAAGCGUAACGGAGGAGCACGAAGGUUAGCUAAUCCUGGUCGGACAUCAGGAGGUUAGUGCAAUGGCAUAAGCUAGCUUGACUGCGAGCGUGACGGCGCGAGCAGGUGCGAAAGCAGGUCAUAGUGAUCCGGUGGUUCUGAAUGGAAGGGCCAUCGCUCAACGGAUAAAAGGUACUCCGGGGAUAACAGGCUGAUACCGCCCAAGAGUUCAUAUCGACGGCGGUGUUUGGCACCUCGAUGUCGGCUCAUCACAUCCUGGGGCUGAAGUAGGUCCCAAGGGUAUGGCUGUUCGCCAUUUAAAGUGGUACGCGAGCUGGGUUUAGAACGUCGUGAGACAGUUCGGUCCCUAUCUGCCGUGGGCGCUGGAGAAUUGAGG
rnacentral:rRNA from 1 species